UCGCGUGCGCGUCAAGUUCCACUGCUGCGCGGUGUCGCGUCAACGAUACCACACACGGCACUUGUAACCGCGGUCGCGGUGAAUAUGCGACGCCGGUAGUGAGACGAGAACGAGUGGCCAUCAUGCCGUCGCGUCGAUCGUAGGCGACGACCGCGGAUCACCCCGGACGCGCGGCGACGACACCGGGAACAACUGUGAGUGCACGAUUUUUUUUUUCAGUAAAUUAACAACGAUCCGGUACAUAGUAAUGCGGUCUGGCGGCUACCGUCGUCGACGGAGUAGCGUAUGAAAAAAAAAAAAAAAAAAAACCGCGAGCGCCAACGAUAAUUCGAUUGUUCUUUAAAACGAAACGCAGCAAAUAAAUAAGCAAGCGAAGUAAGCGUAAUCAAAUGGAUGCUUGUUUAUUCCGACAGACGUUAUCGACGCCGUUUUACUCGAAUUAAAAUACCGAUAUUCAAUAAACGGUACGGCGGCGUAUAACGUUUUUAAUAACACGGCGGAUAAUCGUUGACGGAUCAUUAUUACGAGCGUUUUUUUUUUUUUUUUCCUACGGUUAAUGUUCUUCUGCUACACGUGAAAAUAUUGUCGAAAUCAUUACGGGCAUUGCGCACGGCUUCGUAAUAUUAGCGUACAGCAGUAGGUAAUUAUUGCGUCUCGCCGAAUUAAACAAAAAUUAAACAUUAUUAAAAAUCUAUAUUGCGGUAUUAUAAGUAGCGUGGUUAUAGAUAAACAGCAUUGUGUGACGACGGGCCGUACGUGAGUCAUAUUAUAUUUAUUCGUUUGUACGCGUAUUUUAUGUGCCUCGAACAAAAAAAAAAAAAAAAUCAAAUCCCCACCCGGCGCGUGUACUUACCUAUACCGCGUGCGGUUGACGUCACAUUUAUGUAAAUUGCAUA